AUUUUUUUAGAUGUGAGGGCUGUUGUUCCAAAUCGAGUACUCUGUUGUGCACUUACCGGAAAUGACGAUCACGACUGCCGCCGUGGCUCCUCCCCCGCAAUAAACAUCCCGCUUUGAACGGUGAACUCUUUACGCCUAGCAGCUAUAAAAAACUAUAAAAACUACAAAAUGACUAUUAAUGCAGGCUAUGUGGAAAAUGCGCCGACUUUGGCUCAGCCUGGCUCCACCUCUUCCGCUACGUAGCUAAGAUGGCUGCCGUUGAGUACGGGGAGUGAGUGCAGGCAGAGGUGAGGUUAGGUUACUAUCAGGCCUAUGUCACGGAACAAUUGAAGACCGGAAGAAGCUCGCGGAGUAGGGUAACUGCUCUUCCGCUUAGCUUAGCUAAACUGUUUACCAUGGCGGAGGCAGAUCAAUACCUUUGGACCAAGUCUCUCCAACCUACCUAAAUUGUCCUACGACGACGUCCUAAGGAUAGUAAAUCAGCACUUACGUGUCGAAACAUCUAAACUACGCAAAGGAUAUAAGUUAUUCUGGGAGAAGUACAUUUUUAAUUACAUAGACACAUGACAACCACUUCACAGGGGAGAAAAGCGUGCCAACACCUCUGUCGUGCACCAGUGUUCUGCAGACGUGGACCAAGGACACAGGGGAUUCGCUCCAGGGGAAUCGCCCGGAACCCAUUGACCAACUUGUGGUCAGGAAACCCAAGGUUUGGGUUAGGUGUUUUAUUUGAGCACAUACAUGGACACAUAUCUCCUGAAUGCCAAGUAAAUAUGGCCGAGGGAUACACACACCCCAUUCCAUUUAUUUAUUUCUGUUAAAUGUAUAUAUGUAAAUAUUUUAAUCAAAGAAUUGGAAACGAACAUUCCUGAACAUUUUUUUUUAAGGUAACUGAGCACCUUUAAAACAAGCCUGAAGACUUUUAUGUUUGCAUUAGCUUUCUGCUACAUCUUAAAUACAUUGCACUUUCUAAAAAGCUUUUUUUAACUUUGCCUUUAUUUUCUAUUUUAAUACUAAAAUGCCUUUAACUUUCUAUUUUACUCAUUUCUCUGCAUAUGUUUUCUUUUACUUAUCUAUUUUAUUGUAUGACAAUGUUUAUAUGUGAAGCACUUUGAGUCUUCCCUUGUGUAUGAAAAGUGCUAAAUAAAGUUGCCUUGCCUAACACACACAGAACAUUUCAUUUCUUUCUGUUAAAUGUAAAUAUGUAUAUAUGUAAAUUUAAAAAAAAAGAACUGGAAACAAACAUUAAAUAAACAUUUGAAAAGGACGGACGGACACAAACACACACACACCAUUUUAAUUUCUUUCUGCUAAAUGUAAACAAAGAACAUUAAUAAACGUUUAAAAAUAGUCAUGUGACGUCAUGUGUGUUUUAAUGUGUAACACUGGGACAUCACCCUUAACAUCUAAAGGACCUUGAUAGUUAGACAUCAAGCAAGAAUUUACCCACAGCUGAUUGACAGAGCCUGAAAGAGUCAGAGGAAU
ensembl:lncRNA